rnacentral:lncRNA from 1 species
ACGGUGAAAAGCCUAUUGGUGGCAAGCACAUAAGGCACGUGGGAUGGCCAGGGGCCUCCAGCACAGGAAGGCCCCGAGUGAAAGCCUAGCAGAGUUAAGCGACUGUACGACAUGCUGAAAGGGAUCAGUGAUUUCUCCUGCAGCCAGUUCCAACCUGCUGAAAGGAACACUGAGAAAAUAUAUGGACUCAGUAAACCUGAGCUGCCUCCAAUGGCCUCACUCACUCCAACCCUCAACUUUGCAAUGCUGGAAUGCUGAGAUUAUCGUCCACAAGGAGCAGAAGCUUUCAUAGAGGAA